rnacentral:rRNA from 1 species
UACGUAGGUGGCAAGCGUUAUCCGGAUUUAUUGGGUGUAAAGGGCGUGUAGGCGGGAAUGCAAGUCAGAUGUGAGAACUCAGGGCUCAACCCUGAGCCUGCAUUUGAAACUGUGUUUCUUGAGUGCUGGAGAGGCAAUCGGAAUUCCGUGUGUAGCGGUGAAAUGCGUAGAUAUACGGAGGAACACCAGUGGCGAAGGCGGAUUGCUGGACAGUAACUGACGCUGAGGCGCGAAAGCGUGGGGAGCAAACAGG